rnacentral:rRNA from 1 species
GACGAACGCUGGCGGCGUGCCUAAUACAUGCAAGUAGGACGCCGUUGCGAACGGGUGAGUAACGCGUAGGUAACUGCCUAUUAGAGGGGGGUAACUAUUGGAAACGAUAGCUAAUACCGCAUACUAGUAGAUGGACCUGCGUUGUAUUAGCUAGUAGGUAGGGUAAUGGCCUACCUAGGCGACGAUACAUAGCGGACCUGAUAGGGGGAUAGGCCACACUGGGACUGAGACACGGCCCAGACUCCUACUGGAGGCAGCAGUAGGGAAUCUUCGGCAAUGGGGGGAACCCUGACCGAGCAACGCCGCGUGAGGGAAGAAGGUUUUCGGAUCGUAAAGCUCUGUUGUUAAGGAAGCGGUACUUAACCAGAAAGGGACGGCUCACUACGGGCCAGCAGCCGCGGUAAUUC